rnacentral:rRNA from 1 species
GACGAACGCUGGCGGCGUGCUUAACACAUGCAAGUCGCACGAAGUGGCGAAAGGGUGAGUACUACGGGGGUAACCGGCGCUCACUUCUGGGAUAAGCCUUGGAAACGGGGUCAAAUACCGAAUACAGGGGGAUGGGCUGUCGGCCUAUCAGCAUGUUGGGGGGGUGAUGGCCGACCAAGGAGGGGCCGGGUAGGCGACCUGAGAGGGUGACCGGCCACAUUGGGAGUGGGAGACGGGCCAGGCGCCGAGGGGGGGCAGCUGUGGGGGAUAUUGCACAAGGGGCGAAAGCCUGAUGCGGCGACGCCGCGUGGGGGGUGAAGUCGUACGGGUUGUAAACCUCUUUCGCUAUCGAACGGGUAGGUGGCGAAGAAGCGCCGGCUAACUACGUGCCAGCAGCCGCGGUAAUUC